rnacentral:rRNA from 1 species
GGGGCCCGCGCCUGAUUAGCUAGUUGGUGGGGUAACGGCUCACCAAGGCGACGAUCAGUAUCCGGCCUGAGAGGGCGGACGGACACACUGGGACUGAGACACGGCCCAGACUCCUACGGGAGGCAGCAGUGGGGAAUUGUUCGCAAUGGGCGCAAGCCUGACGACGCAACGCCGCGUGGAGGACGAAGAUCUUCGGGUCGUAAACUCCUGUCGAGCGGGACGGACGCUUCGCGGAUGAAUAAUCCGCGGAAUUGACGGUACCGCUAAAGGAAGCCCCGGCUAACUCCGUGCCAGCAGCCGCGGUAAUACGGGGGGGGCAAGCGUUGUUCGGAAUUACUGGGCGUAAAGGGCUCGUAGGUGGCCAACUAAGUCGGAUGUGAAAUCCCCAGGCUCAACUUGGGAACUGCAUCCGAUACUGGAUGGCUUGAAUCCGGGAGAGGGAUGCAGAAUUCCAGGUGUAGCGGUGAAAUGCGUAGAUAUCUGGAGGAAUACCGGUGGCGAAGGCGGCAUCCUGGACCGGCAUUGACACUGAGGAGCG